AUUGAACGCUGGCGGCAGGCCUAACACAUGCAAGUCGAGCGAGCGGCGGACGGGUGAGUAAUGGCUGGGAAACUGCCGGAUGGCGGGGGAUAACUACUGGAAACGGUAGCUAAUACCGCAUCACAUCAGCUGUGCCCAGAUGGGAUUAGCUGGUAGGUGGGGGAACGGCUCACCUAGUGGACGAUCCCUAGCGGGUCUGAGAGGAUGACCAGCCACACUGGAACUGAGACACGGUCCAGACUCCUACGGGAGGCAGCAGUGGGGAAUAUUGCACAAUGGGCGAAAGCCUGAUGCAGCCAUGCCGCGUGUGUGAAGAAGGCCUUCGGGUUGUAAAGCACUUUCAGCGGGGAGGCGUUACCCGCAGAAGAAGCACCGGCUAACUCCGUGCCAGCCGCCGCGGUAAUAC
rnacentral:rRNA from 1 species